AAGAAGAAGAAGAAGAAGAGGAAAGAAAUAUGAACUUUUUAUGUUUGAUCUUCCCCACAAGUUAUAGAGUCAUGAUCAAAGGGUGAAGCUUUUAGUUCACCUUUAUUAAUUACUUUUGGCUAAUUAUAUAUGUUUUUAUUUCAUAAUUUGUAAAUUGUUUAUCAUUGUAUUUGCAUGCAUAUAUAUAUGUACUUAAGAUGUUUGUUUUUCGUCACAAUUAAUGUUGUAUCUUGUAAUAAUUAAUCAUAAUGUUUCUG
rnacentral:misc_RNA from 1 species